GGGAUAUAGCCCAGCUGUGUCCAGCCAGGGUGGAGAAGCGCAUCUUCCUUCUGAUUCAGUCCGUCCUGGCUUCGUCUGCUGAUGCUGACCACUGUAAGGCAUUUGAAAUCAUACUCUGUAGCACGCAUGCCGUUUCAAGGUUCUGUCGGUAACUUUCUCUCCCUUCCUUGCAGUACCAUCAUCUCAAGGCAGCAGUGAGGCCCCAGCGUCUCAGCCACCCCCCCAGGUCAGAGGUUCUGUCAUGCCCUCUGUGAUUAGAGCACAUGCCAUCAUUACCUUAGGUAAGAAAAACGUGGGAGAAUGGGGCUUGACAUCGUUCUGUGUGUAGCUGUUGUCUUAAGUAAGCCCAGCCAUGGGACUGUGUCAGGGGCUGCGGAGCCUGUCUGUGUCUGCUCUCAGCCAUGUGGUUCCUAGAGGUGGCUCUGAUCUGAG
rnacentral:sRNA from 1 species